rnacentral:tRNA from 1 species
UCUUUGGUGGUCCAACGGUCAAGAUUUCCGCUUGUCAUUCAAUGACAAUCCGCGGGAGAUCGGGGUUCGACUCCCCGCCAGAGAG